CUCCAUGAAUCUUUAGGACCUGUCAGCUGGAACACUCUUCCUUCCUAGCCAUGGAAGAGCAUAUUCUUGUUUAUUGGCAAAGCUUCCAUCAUUUAAUUGGUAUCAGAUUCUGACUUGCACAAGUUAACAUUC